rnacentral:rRNA from 1 species
GACGAACGCUGGCGGCGUGCUUAACACAUGCAAGUCGAACGGAAAGGCCCUGCUUUUGUGGGGUGCUCGAGUGGCGAACGGGUGAGUAACACGUGAGUAACCUGCCCUUGACUUUGGGAUAACUUCAGGAAACUGGGGCUAAUACCUGAUAGGAGCUCCUGCUGCAUGGUGGGGGUUGGAAAGUUUCGGCGGUUGGGGAUGGACUCGCGGCUUAUCAGCUUGUUGGUGGGGUAGUGGCUUACCAAGGCUUUGACGGGUAGCCGGCCUGAGAGGGUGACCGGGCACAUUGGGACUGAGAUACGGCCCAGACUGCUACGGGAGGCAGCAGUGGGGAAUAUUGCACAAUGGGCGGAAGCCUGAUGCAGCAACGCCGCGUGCGGGAUGACGGCCUUCGGGUUGUAAACCGUUUUCGCCUGUGACGAAGCGUGAGUGACGGUAAUGGGUAAAGAAGCACCGGCUAACUACGUG